rnacentral:rRNA from 1 species
UACAGAGGGUGCAAGCGUUAAUCGGAUUUACUGGGCGUAAAGCGUGCGUAGGUGGCGAUUUAAGUCGGAUGUGAAAGCCCUGGGCUUAACCUGGGAACUGCAUUCGAUACUGCCGUGCUUGAGGACUGGAGAGGAGACUGGAAUUUACGGUGUAGCGGUGAAAUGCGUAGAUAUCGUAAGGAAGACCAGUGGCGAAGGCAGGUCUCUGGGCCAUUACUGACACUGAGAAGCGAAAGCAUGGGGAGCGAACAGG